AGAUUGAACGCUAGCGGGAUGCUUUACACAUGCAAGUCGAACGGCAGCGCGGACUUCGGUCUGGCGGCGAGUGGCGAACGGGUGAGUAACAUAUCGGAACGUGCCCAGUAGCGGGGGAUAACUACGCGAAAGCGUGGCUAAUACCGCAUACGCCGUACGGGGGGAAAGGGGGGAUUCGUUCGGAACCUCUCACUAUUGGAGCGGCCGAUAUCAGUAUAGCUAGUGUGAGGUAAAGCUCGACCAAGGCGACGAUCUGUAGCGUGGUUUGAGAGGACACAGCCACAC
rnacentral:rRNA from 1 species